GGAUGCGAUCAUACCAGCACUAAAGCACCGGAUCCCAUCAGAACUCCGAAGUUAAGCAUGCUUGGGCGAGAGUAGUACUGGGAUGGGUGACCUCCUGGGAAGUCCUCGUGUUGCAUUCC
rnacentral:rRNA from 1 species